GGGAGCGUGGUAUAACGGCAGCAUGACGUGUCUCCAAAACCGCUCGGCGCGGGUUCAAAUCCUGCCGCUCCCG
rnacentral:tRNA from 1 species